GGAGCAGAAUAAUAUGCAGCUAGGGGAAGGCCAGGCUGGGUCUCAGGGUGAGAGUUACAGAAGGAUAUGAAAUAAUCGGGGAAGAGGCAAGUUACAGCGGGUAUCCUGAUGCAGACCAUCCCCAGCCGGAAACACAGCAGCAGGACUGAGCCCAAGCUCCAGACCAAAAACACUCAGGGUCUGCAUGGCCCAGAGCUGGCAUCUGUCCGGGGAACUGGCCCAGGCAAGGUGACCACUGUCAUCCAGUCCAGGAGCUGUGAGCUGCAUGGAAAGAAUGUGAAUGAAGACACAACUCUAAAUGUGGAACCAUGGACGCUAUGUGAGCCAGUGUGCUCCCUAGCCGUCCAGAAAAACAAGGCCCACUUGUACAUUCUGCAAGAGCAUAAAUAAAGCUGUCCUCAGGCAGUGUGCUGUGGUGGCCCAUCCUUGCAGUGGCUUCACUGGCUGCACCCCUCAGCAAGGCCUCUGGAACACUGUGAGGGCAGCACACCCACCCAACGGUGUGGGUAAAAAACGGUCUAGCUAUGGCCUUGCCGCACGUGGUGAUCGCUAACUUAAUUUUGCAGCAAAUUUAAUCUGCUCUGUAUUGGUAUUAAUUAGAAAUGUUCAAAAGCUGGUAAUAAGGGCAGUGCAGAAUGGGUCCUUCAGGCCAAUUUCUGGUUCUGGGUAUUUGAAGCUUAUAUCCCUGCAAAUAACAGGAAGCCACUCACCUGAUUCUUUUAACUUUGCAUCCUGGUUAUACGU
rnacentral:antisense_RNA from 1 species